GAGUUGACCUGGCUCAGGAUGACGCUGGUUUUUUGCCUAAUACAUGCAAGCCGAGCGAACAGGGGGGAGCUUGCUCCUUUGACGUUAGCGGCAGGACGGCUGAGUAUCACGUGGGUAACCUACCCAUAACUGGAAUAACUCCGGGAAACCGGGGCUAAUGCCGGAUAAUAUUUACAACCGCUGGUUCUAAAGUGAAAGAUGGCCUUGCUAUCACUUAUGGAUGGACCCGCGCCGUAUUAGCUAGUUGGAAGGUAACGGUUACCAAGGCAACGAUACGUAACCGACCUGAGAGGGUGAUCGGCCACACUGGAACUGAGACACGGUCCAGACUCCUACGGGAGGCAGCAGUAGGGAAUCUUCCGCAAUGGGCGAAAGCCUGACGGAGCAACGCCGCGUGAGUGAUGAAGGUCUUCGGAUCGUAAAGCUCUGUUAUUAGGGAAGAACAAAUGCUAAGUAACUGUGCGCGUCUUGACGGUACCUAAUCAGAAAGCCACGGCUAACUACGUGCCAGCAGCCGGGAAUACUAGGUGGCAAAGCGGUAUCCGGAAUUAUUGGCGUAAAGCGCGCGGUAGGCCGGGUUUUUAAGCCUGAUGGAAAGCCCCACGCUAACCGCGGAUGGCAUUGGGAAACUGGGAAAACUUGUGCACAAAGAAAGGGGCAUUCCUUGUGAGCCGGGGAAAUCCCAAGAGAUUGAGGGAACCCCCGCCG
rnacentral:rRNA from 1 species